UCCGGGGGGGGCAAGCGUUGUUCGGAAUUACUGGGCGUAAAGGGCUUGUAGGUGGCCAACUAAGUCGAACGUGAAAUCCCCGGGCUCAACCCGGGAACUGCGUCCGAUACUGGAAGGCUUGAAUCCGGGAGAGGGAUGUGGAAUUCCAGGUGUAGCGGUGAAAUGCGUAGAUAUCUGGAGGAACACCGGUGGCGAAGGCGACAUCCUGGACCGGUAUUGACGCUGAGGCGCGAAAGCCAGGGGAGCAAACGGG
rnacentral:rRNA from 1 species